AAGUAACGAAGUUUCACCUCGGGUGACAGGGAGGACAGGUGGUGCAUGGUUGUCGUCAGCUCGUGUCGUGAGAUGUUGGGUUAAGUCCCGCAACGAGCGCAACCCCUACGUUUAGUUGCUAACGCGUGAAGGCGAGCACUCUAGACGAACUGCCGUUGACAAAACGGAGGAAGGUGGGGAUGACGUCAAAUCAUCAUGCCCCUUAUGUUCUGGGCUACACACGUGCUACAAUGGCCGGUACAGACGGACGCAAAGCCGCGAGGUGGAGCAAAUCCUAAAAAGCCGGUCUCAGUUCGGAUUGCAGGCUGCAAUUCGCCUGCAUGAAGUCGGAAUCGCUAGUAAUCGCAGGUCAGCAUACUGCGGUGAAUACGUUCCCGGGCCUU
rnacentral:rRNA from 1 species